GCAGGUUGUAAAAAAUCCUCGAGUGACUGCAAAAUACAUGCAGCAAAACUUGGUGGCAGCAGGCAUGGUGGUUUCAGUGAGCACAGUAUGGUGUGUAUUAAACGCAGAAGGUUUUCAUGCCAGAACUCCAAGACGUACACCACUACUGAACCAAGAGCUCAAGAAAAGUUGGCUCCAGUAUGCUGUAAAUCAUAUAAAUAAGCCACUGAAGGCUUAGGAUUCUGUCUUGUGGAGAGAUGAAACAAAACUGGAACUUUUCAGCCCAAUGGAUCAGCAGUAUGUCAGGAGAAAAAAAGAACAAAGCAUAUGCUGAAAAGAACACUCUACCUAAAGUUAAGCAUAGUGGUGGCUCGGUGAUGCUCUGGAGCUGCUUAGCAUCCUCUUACACUGAAAACUUAAGAAAAUGGAAGUCAAGAUGGACUAAUUAGAGUACCAGGAAAUCUAGGAGAC